GAGGGUAUAGCUCAGCGGUAGAGUGGGUGCUUAGCAUGCGCAAGGUCCUGGGUUCAAUCCCCAGCACCUCCA
rfam:Camelus ferus unplaced genomic scaffold scaffold854, whole genome shotgun sequence.